AAGCGGAGGAACAUGUGGUUUAAUUCGAUGAUACGCGAGGAACCUUACCCGGGCUUGAAAUGCAUCUGACCGGCCUUGAAAGAGGCACUCCCUUCGGGGCAGAUGUGUAGGUGCUGCAUGGUUGUCGUCAGCUCGUGCCGUGAGGUGUCGGCUUAAGUGCCAUAACGAGCGCAACCCUCAUCAUUAGUUACCAUCAGGUAAGGCUGGGGACUCUAAUGAGACUGCCAUCGUAAGAUGUGAGGAAGGUGGGGAUGACGUCAAAUCAGCACGGCCCUUACGUCCGGGGCGACACACGUGUUACAAUGGGUGGUACAAAGGGCAGCUACCUGGCGACAGGAUGCUAAUCUCGAAAACCGCUCUCAGUUCGGAUCGGAGUCUGCAACUCGACUCCGUGAAGCUGGAUUCGCUAGUAAUCGCGCAUCAGCCACGGCGCGGUAGAAUACGUUCCCGGGCCUU
rnacentral:rRNA from 1 species